GAUGAAGAACGUAGCGAAAUGCGAUACGUAAUGUGAAUUGCAGAAUUCAGUGAAUCAUCGAAUCUUUGAACGCAUAUUGCGCUCUUUGGUAUUCCGAAGAGCAUGCUUGUUUGAGUAUCAGUAAACACCUCAAAGCUUUUGGAUUUUUUAAUCGAAAAGCUUUGGACUUGAGCAAUCCCAACACCAAUCUUUUUGAGAUCGGUGGCGGGUUGCUUGAAAUGCAGGUGCAGCUGGACAUUCUCCUGAGCUAAAAGCAUAUUCAUUUAGUCCCGUCAAACGGAUUAUUACUUUUGCUACAGCUAACAUAAAGGGAGUUUGACCGUAUUGGCUGACUGAUGCAGGAUUUCACAAGGGUCGGCAACGAUUCUUGUUAAACUCGAUCUCAAAUCAAGUAAGACUACCCGCUGAACUUAAGCAUAUCAAUAAGCGGAGGA
rnacentral:misc_RNA from 1 species